rnacentral:rRNA from 1 species
UACGAAGGGGGCUAGCGUUGUUCGGAAUUACUGGGCGUAAAGGGCGCGUAGGCGGUGUGUCAAGUCAGGCGUGAAAGCCCCGGGCUCAACCUGGGAACCGCGCUUGAGACUGGCACGCUCGAGUUCGGGAGAGGAUGGUGGAAUUCCCAGUGUAGAGGUGAAAUUCGUAGAUAUUAGGAAGAACACCAGUGGCGAAGGCGGCUCACUGGCCCGGUACUGACGCUGAGGAGCGAAAGCGUGGGUAGCGAACAGG